CACAUAGUAUAUCCAAUAGAAUUUUCAAUAAUUUCACAGACCUCUGAUCCAGAGCCCCACAGCAUUCUGGGGGAUGUAGGCAAAAUAAAGAUUUUAGUCGCUCAACCUCUCCUGGCGAGCUAAGAAGCAAGGUUGGUGGCAUUAACUAACUCACUCGCUCUCUGGUUACCUAGUAACAACCGGCUGAUUAACUUGGCAGCAGCAGUUUUAGGUUUUGCCACCG